rnacentral:tRNA from 2 species
GCCGGCUUGUCGGAAUGGCAGACGAGGUGGACUCAAAAUCCAUUGGUGGCAACACCGUGCGGGUUCAAGUCCCGCAGCCGGCACUA